GACGAACGCUGGGCGGCGUGCUUAAAACAUGCAAGUCGAACGGACUUCUCAUGAAGCUUGCGAUUGAGAAGUUAGUGGCGGACGGGUGAGUAACGCGUGGGCAACCUGCCCCUGAGCCCGGGAUAACAGUUCGAAAGGACUGCUAAGACCGGAUAUACUUGCGGUGAAGCAUUUCACUGCAAGGAAAGGGAACGCUCAGGGAUGGGCCCGCGUCCCAUUAGCUAGUUGGUGAGGUAACGGCCCACCAAGGCGACGAUGGGUAGCCGGCCUGAGAGGGUGAACGGCCACACUGGGACUGAGACACGGCCCAGACUCCUACGGGAGGCAGCAGUUGGGAAUCUUCGGCAAUGGGCGCAAGCCUGACCGAGCAACGCCGCGUGAGUGAUGAAGGUUUUCGGAUUGUAAAGCUCUGUCUUCCGGGACGAUAAUGACGGUACCGGAGGAGGAAGCCACGGCUAACUACGUG
rnacentral:rRNA from 1 species